GCCGAUCGUUCUUGCGCCGCGUCAGGAACAGAGCUACGAAUGGAAGGGAGCACGAGCCAUAGCCACAGAUGGAGAAGAAAGAGCAUGCGCAGAGGAGGUGAAUUCGUCGCUGUCACCGUCGCGUGUGGAGUCACUGCCACGCCUGGCCUCCGUUGCUGCUGAACUUUGACCGCCACCGUUCCUACUGCCGUCAAGCCUCGGUUAGCACCGCCGAAGCUCCUGCCAUCAUUGUCGUUGAGGAAGCUCACUAGAGUUGCCGGAGGCUGCCGCCGGAGACUGCCGCUGGAUCCUCUAUCAUAUCCUGUUAGAGUUACUGAGAUGAUGGUAAUAUAGGAUCAAAUCGUGGUUCGUGCAUGCCGAGCUCAGUAGUCGUGCAUGCGACAUUAAGCUGCUAUGUCGCCAACGGAGUCGCCGCUGUUCUGUUUUCUCGGAUAUUCGUAGGAUCAGUUUGAGUUUGGCUCUUACGUGCCGUAAUUAAAGUUGUUGUGGUUGCGGCUGUCACGGACUGCGCGCUAAGAGGGAAGGUUCCCUUGACGCGUUUGGUUUUUGGGUCUCGGCUUGUCGAGGAAUCAAAUGAAGAACUCUUAUGAAGAGUCAUACUGCGUUUUGGUUUAUAUGAUGUUGUAUUAAUUAGAUUAUUUUUCUUCUCUCGUCUUUGUUAUUACAAUUCUGUAAGAGGGAUAGGAGAUUUGUGUUUUAUAUGUAUAUUAUUUUAUAAGUUAUUAGGUCAGAAAUCUUGAAUAUGAAUCUAUGUGUUUGUUUUUUUUUAAGAUAAAAUAUUUAU